rnacentral:rRNA from 1 species
GAUGAACGCUGGCGGCGUGCCUAACACAUGCAAGUCGAACGAAGCAUAUCGCCUGAUUUUUACGGAAAGAGGGAGAAAUGACUGAGUGGCGGACGGGUGAGUAACGCGUGGGCAACCUGCCCCAUACCGGGGGAUAACAGCCGGAAACGGCUGCUAAUACCGCAUAAGCGCACAGCGCCGCAUGGCGCAGUGUGAAAAACUCCGGUGGUAUGGGAUGGGCCCGCGUCUGAUUAGCCAGUUGGCGGGGCAGCGGCCCACCAAAGCGACGAUCAGUAGCCGACCUGAGAGGGUGACCGGCCACAUUGGGACUGAGACACGGCCCAA